GACGAACGCUGGCGGCGUGCCUAAUACAUGCAAGUUGAGCGAUGAAGAUUGGUGCUUGCACCAAUUUGAAGAGCAGCGAACGGGUGAGUAACGCGUGGGGAAUCUGCCUUUGAGCGGGGGACAACAUUUGGAAACGAAUGCUAAUACCGCAUAAUAACUUUAAACAUAAGUUUUAAGUUUGAAAGAUGCAAUUGCAUCACUCAAAGAUGAUCCCGCGUUGUAUUAGCUAGUUGGUGAGGUAAAGGCUCACCAAGGCGAUGAUACAUAGCCGACCUGAGAGGGUGAUCAGCCACAUUGGGACUGAGACACGGCCCAAGCUACUACGGGAGGCAGCAGGAGGGAAUCUUCGGCAAUGGGCGAAAGUCUUACCGAGCAACGCCGCGUGAGUGAAGAAGGUUAUCGGAUCGUAAAAAUCUGUUGGUAGAGAAGAACGUUAGUGAGAGUGGAAAGCUCAUCAAGUGACGGUAACUACCCAGAAAGGGACGGCUAACUACGUG
rnacentral:rRNA from 1 species